CUAGGCUAAUAUGACCACGAGACCGAUAGCGAACAAGUACCGUGAGGGAAAGUUGAAAAGCACUUUGAAGAGAGAGUUCAAGAGUACGUGAAACCGUUUAGGGGUAAACCUGAGAAACCCGAAAGGUCGAAGGAAGAAAUUCAUUCGCGUUUCGCCGCAGGCGUGGGGCGGUCGUGUGACGGAAAACGUUCGCGUUUUCCGCUCUUUCCGUCCUUCGAACCGGUAGCGAACGCGUGCACUUUUCUUCUGGUAGGACGUCGCGAUCCGUUGGGCGUCGGUCUACGGCUCGCGGUGGAGCCCGUUUGUACGCAACCAUGUACGAGCGGACCCGCGUGUCCCGGCUGACUCGCUCGACGGUAUACGAAAGGUUUAAGGCCGCUCUCGGAGCGUUCGGCUCGUGGCAAGCGCGCCAGAUGCGUCGGCGAUCGGACUCCGUGCCGAUUCUGACCUCUGGCGACUGUUGGCCGCGAAGUUCUCGAACAGACCUUAAGACCGAUCUGCGACGCUAUAGCUUUGGGUACUUUCAG
rnacentral:rRNA from 1 species